rnacentral:rRNA from 1 species
CGAACGCUGGCGGCGUGCUUAACACAUGCAAGUCGAGCGGAAAGGCCACUUCGGUGGUACUCGAGCGGCGAACGGGUGAGUAACACGUGAGUAAUCUGCCCCUGGCUUUGGGAUAGCCACCGGAAACGGUGAUUAAUACCGGAUAUGACACAUUCUCGCAUGAGUUUGUGUGGAAAGUUUUUCGGCCAGGGAUGUGCUCGCGGCCUAUCAGCUUGAUGGUGAGGUAAUGGCUCACCAUGGCUUCGACGGGUAGCCGGCCUGAGAGGGUGACCGGUCACACUGGGACUGAGACACGGCCCAGACUCCUACGGGAGGCAGCAGUGGGGAAUAUUGGACAAUGGGCGGAAGCCUGAUCCAGCAACGCCGCGUGAGGGAUGACGGCCUUCGGGUUGUAAACCUCUUUCAGUACCGACGAAGCGCAAGUGACGGUAGGUACAGAAGAAGCACCGGCCAACUACGUG